UUUUCUUAAAACAGGGAACAACCACAAUAGCUAAGCUCUUCCCAGGCUGAUGGCUGAUGUGUAGAGGCAUUUAGGAAGAGGCUUGGGAACCUCCACAAGACCCGGUCUAAAACACCAUCCUCUCUCUCUCGAUAACCAGAUCGAAAAGAGGAGUAAUAAUGGAAAAGAUGAACCUUGCGAGGAAUAUAUAUAAGACGUUCUACGGCUUUAGAUACAGAACAAUCAACCAGCGUGUCAAAAACACCGCGGGGAAAUUCGGUGCCCUUAAUGACGAAAUAUCCAAAUACACGGCAGCUCCUUACCUCCGACACACACUAAACUCAAGCAAGGAGGCUCAACAUGUCGUUCAAGUCACCGAGCAGUAUGAAAAGUCCAUUUACCAAACUGGCUCGUGAUUAUUCACAUUUCAAGGAACAUGAAGAACCAACUCUCACGACAUGCAAUAUGUUCAGAAAUUAUGUUUUACCAUCUCUAGCGACCAGUGUGGGUGUUGUCCUACUUGGGGCGUUUGCAUAUGAAGGACACUUGAAGGAAAACUA